rnacentral:rRNA from 1 species
AACGAACGCUGGCGGCAGACUUAACACAUGCAAGUCGAGCGCGUAGCAAUACGAGCGGCAGACGGGUGAGUAACACGUGGGAAUCUACCCAUCCCUGCGGAACAACUCUGGGAAACUGGAGCUAAUACCGCAUACGCCCUUAGGGGGAAAGAUUUAUCGGGGAUGGAUGAGCCCGCGUUGGAUUAGCUAGUUGGUGGGGUAAAGGCCUACCAAGGCGACGAUCCAUAGCUGGUCUGAGAGGAUGAUCAGCCACAUUGGGACUGAGACACGGCCCAAACUCCUACGGGAGGCAGCAGUGGGGAAUAUUGGACAAUGGGCGCAAGCCUGAUCCAGCCAUGCCGCGUGAGUGAUGAAGGCCUUAGGGUUGUAAAGCUCUUUCACCGAUGAAGAUAAUGACGGUAGUCGGAGAAGAAGCCCCGGCUAACUUCGUGCCAGCCGCCGCCGUAACAC